rnacentral:misc_RNA from 1 species
UUUGGAAUUUGGGGUUUGGGUUGGGAAUACAAUGAGGAGGUCAUUUCUGGGAUAGCUAUUCCACGACUAGGUAUCUUAGUCUCAAUAAAAUGGAAAAAGGAAAAACACAAGAUUAGAUUUUCUUCUGUUGCUUACAAGGGACGAAUUGAGCAACAUAGUUGGGAAGAGGAUAGUUAGAUUAUAAACAAUUGUUGAAUUUGUUAAACAACUCUUGGACUUUU